rnacentral:rRNA from 1 species
UCGAGAAUUUUUCUCAAUGGGGGAAACCCUGAAGGAGCGACGCCGCGUGGAGGAUGAAGGUUUUCGGAUUGUAAACUCCUGUCAUUGGUGAACAAAGCCUUAGGUUAACUGCCUGGAGGUUUGCUAGUAGCCGAAGAGGAAGGGACGGCUAACUCUGUGCCAGCAGCCGCGGUAAUACAGAGGUCCCGAGCGUUGUUCGGAUUCAUUGGGCGUAAAGGGUGCGUAGGCGGCGGGGUAAGUCUGAUGUGAAAUCUCGGAGCUCAACUCCGAAACUGCAUUGGAUACUGCCUUGCUAGAGUACUGGAGAGGAAACUGGAAUUUACGGUGUAGCAGUGAAAUGCGUAGAGAUCGUAAGGAAGACCAGUGGCGAAGGCGAGUUUCUGGACAGUAACUGACGCUGAGGCACGAAGGCCAGGGGAGCAAACGG